GCCGUGAGCAUGCCGAAAUCAUUGUGGUAGUGUGCUGCUGCGUUUGGAGGUGAUUUCUUAAGCACUAACAGCUGACCAGAGCAAAAGCCCUUGUCAUAGUACUGUGGAUUAUUUCAUUCCCUAGCAUAUAGUUAAUUUUUCGAUGUGUUCCUGUGGCAUGCAAAGAAUUUACACGUUGAUGCUGUUUGGUAUUCUCACGGUGAGGAGCUUGAAGACAGUGAGGGAAGGCUGGCAGAUUUAUGCAAGAAGCCCAGGACACUUCUGGGGAGUGAAGGGACUGAGAUCCCCUCCC